rnacentral:lncRNA from 1 species
UGACAUAAAAGGAAAGGCAGAGAGGCAGCCCAAGCUCCUUUUCCUUUCCGUCCUUCCGUGCUCAUCAGGAAGCCCAAGGCAGGGAGUGAGGCCCCUUGUAGACUCCUUACUGGGAAGACCACUAACAGCACCAGGAGGAAAUGCUGCAGCUUGCCUCAAAUCCUGGUCCAGCCGCGUGUCUGCUGGUGACUACAACAACCCUCUUAACGGAUCUGAGCCUUCGUUCCCUCAUCUGUGAGAACCAGGCUUGCAAAGCCUCUGCUACAUACUAAAGCCAGGGAGAGGCCACUGAUGGGCAAAAAGAGGAGGACAGAGACCUGGAAAACACUAACAAGGGCCCAGUAUAUGCAUAGGAAGCAGACGGCUGAUGUUCAGGUGGAGUUCAGGUUCAGUAUGCUCCAGCAGCACCCAUCGGAGAACCCAUUGGUAAGAGGCUUUGGAACAGAUGAUUUUCUAAAGCUAUAACUGUGGGUGGCUUAUAGGGGUAGUGUGGCCACUGUGACACAUAGGUCCCAUGCCAUACAGGACCUUGGAGCCCUGUCCAAAGCAGUGAUGGGAAAUGCACGUGACUGGGGGCUCUCAGUCUAGGGGAACUAGGAGGGCUUCAGAUCCCAGAGCCUGGCUGAAGCCCCAGCAGGACCACAGUGAUGUCUUGUCUUGGGAAAGUGUGUGCCCUGCCCCCAGAGACACCUGGACUUUUCAGCUCAGCGCUGCGGCAAGCACCCUAGCACAUGCCACCCAGGGCUUCCCAGAGGGUGGCCCCGAGUCAGGCAGUACACUAAAGGUUGGGACUCAAGUGGAAAGUUUGCUGAGAGAGUGAACAGGGGAAGUUGUUGAUCCUGGCCUCAUCUGCCAUUGCUCUCUGGGCACCCUGGCGCUGAGCCAGCCUCGGCUGCUGGCCUCCCUCAGCUGCUGGCCUCCCUCAGUUGCUGGCCUCCCUCAGCUGCUGGCCUCCCUGCUGGGGGUCUGCACCAGGUAGAGUGCUGUUUGGCUGAGAUUCACACACACAAAAAAUCUCAUUAAGCGGUGGAUUAAACAAAAUUGGGGCUUAUUUCUUUCUCUUAUAACAAAAGCCCAGAGGUAGGUGGCUGUAUUAGUCAGGGUUCUCUAGAGGAACAGAACUAAUAGGAUCUACGUAUAUACGAAAGGGAGUUUAUUAAGGAGAAUUGACUCAAAGGAUCACAAGGCGAAGUCCCACGAUAGGCCGUCUGCAGGCGGAGGAGCAAGGAAGCCAGUGGUGGAUCAGUCCAGGUCCCAAAACCUCAAAAGCAGGGAAGCCAACAGUGCAGCCUUCAGUCUGUGGCCAAAGGCUCAAGAGCCCCCAGCAAGCCACUGGUGUAAGUCCAAGAGUCCAAAAGCUGAAGAACCUGGAGUCUGAUGUUCAAGGGCAGGAAGCAUCCCGCGUGGGAGGAAAGAUGAAAGCCAGAAGACUCAGCAAGCCAGCUUCUUCCACUUUCUUCCACCUACAUUUUUUAAGCUGCGCUGGCAGCCCAUUGGAUGGUGCCCACGCAGAUUGAGGAUGGGUCCACCUCUCCCAGUCCACUGACCCCAGUGUUUAUCUCCUCUGGCAACACCCUCACAGACACACCCAGAAACAAUACUUUUCAUCCUUCAAUUCAAUCAAGUUGACACUCAAUAAUCACAUCAAGCAUCCAAUGGACAGUCAUCUGAACACCUCUCCAGAUACAUCGCCACUGUGCAGGGCUUGGGCUGGCAGAGGGUGCUGCAUAAAGACCCAACUUCAAAAGGGAAUGAGAGAAACAGAGCAGUUCAUGAUGCCCCAAGUCUCCCUUUAAAAUCCUUCCGAGCAGGAAUUAUCACAAAGACUCCCCACCCUGGCAGCAGGGUGAGCUCCUUGGUGACCCCACAGGCAGCCCUGGCCCUGCUCUCUGAAGCACUUCCCGGGCUUGUCAUCCCGUGUCCCCUGGCUUUGUGCCCUGGAAGGCCCUUCCUUGUGCAGCACCCCUCAUGGCUCAACUGAAGCAAGCGUAGGAUGCUACACUCCUUGGGCAAUACACAGAUUUUGCAGCCAUCUUCUCCAGAUAUAGUUUUGAAGACCAUCACAGGCUAUUGUAGGCCCCACUUGUGGCACAUUUUUGGACAGUAACAGCCCCUCAAAAUGUAUUUGCUUCCUGUCUGUUCCAUGUGCAAGUAACCAUCCCCUCAAUCUGCUUACAGUCAUGAUCUUAAACGGACCAAGUCUCCUUUUCUGUUUCCAGGAUUUCUUGGUUGACCAGGUCUACGCUUCUGCACUAGUUCUCAAGAGCUGCUGUAACAAAGUGCCACAAACUAGGUGACUUAAAACAACAGGAAGUGAUCCUCUUAUAGUUCUGGAGGCUACAAGUCAGAAAUCAAAGUGUUGGCAGGGCCACGUGCCCUCAAAGGCUGUAGGGGACAAUCCGCUCCUUGCUCAUCCAGCCUCUGCUGGUUUCUAGCAGUCUUGAUGUUCCUCGGCUCCUGCCAGCAUCCUUGAAAUCUCCGCCUUCAUCUUCGCAUGGCUUUCUUUCUUGUUUCGGUGUCCAAGUUUCUUCCUUUUUAUAAGGACACCAGUCCUAUUGGAUUUAGAGUCCAUCCUAAUUCAUUACGGCCUGAUUACAACUGCUAAGACCCCUUUUUUAAAAAAUAAGGUUACAUUCACAAGUUCCAGGUGGACAUUAAUUACAAGGCAACACUAUUUAACUCGGUGCACCCUCUGUCUUUUUAUUUCAUGAUGUCUCCCCAAGGCCUUCUGAAACAGUAGGCUUGGUAGGGAGGCAGCACUCUUGCUCAGCUCAUGGAAGCUAAGGAGGCACCUAGAGACCCUUGCACCUACUGCUGCCUGAGAUACAGGAGCAGAUGGCUUUUCUAAUCUUGUGAGAAUCCAGACUUCUGGAUUUUAAAUCAAUUUAGAUUGCAGGUCUCAGCUUGUAAGCUUCUCUUAACCGAAGUCAAUUUUCUUCUAUACCUGUUUACAAAGCCAUGGGUUCUCACCUGAAUUUCUCUCUUUUGUAUUUUGCUAAAAGCAACAAAGAGCAGCCAACACUCUGAGUUUUUCCAGCAGAUUCCUGGUGAGACAAAGUCGAGAAGGUGGAUAGGAAAGUGGUCUGCUUUCCAAGUUAUCCCAGGGGACAGGUCUACCAAAAUUUGCAAAACACAGCAAGGGUGAACAGCUUCCAAACCUGCAGCGUCUAGACCCUCACCUCCUGCACCAACUGCUACGCCAGUGGUGUACAUUUUAGUUCUUCGUUUUGGUAGCACCCCACUUCUGGCACUAGUUUCUGUAUCUGUUAGGGUAGAAGCUAAGCUGCUAAAAUAAAGAGACCCAACCAUAGUGAUUUUGAUAAUGCAGAUCUUUUCACUCUCUCAUUUUACCAUGCAGGGGUGAAAAACCAGGGCUGGAAGGUGGCUGGGUCACCUUUAACUUGUUGUUACAUGACCACACGGAGCUGCAAGGGAGGGUGGGUUAUGCAGUCUGAAGCCAGACCACGUGCACAGCCAGAAUGUGUAUGGGGUUCUACUAAGUUUGAAAAGGAAAAAAGGCAUCACUGAUAUCAGAAGAUUGAUUUUCAAUUUUUCUCGAUCAUGUAUUUGGCGCUUUAUUGAGCUUCCAAUACCAAAUCUCCCUGGCUCCGUGCUGCCAUUUCUGCCUGAAUAUUUUCAAGGAAACUGAGCACCAGAGGUGUAGAGUAACUUUCCUGAAGUCACAGAGCAAUGUGGAGGUAGAGGUGGAGUCAGUGUCCAGAUCUACCAGGAGCCAAUCAGUCUGAGUCUAUCUGGGCGGCUACCACAAAAUACCACAGACUGAGUGGCCUAUAAACAACAGACGCUUACUUCUCUUAUUUAUCUCUGGAGGCUGGGAAGUCCACAAUCACGGGGCUGGCACAUUCAGCAUCUGGGCAGGGCUACUCUCUCUUUUAACAUGGCUCAUUUUUGCUGUGUCCUCACAUGGGGCUGGCAGAUGGCUGGGUCACCCUUAAUUUGUUGUUAAUUUCCAUGGUUCCUCCAAUUUGUUGUCACUCUUCCCAAAGGGCAGGGACUGAAAGAGUCUAUGGGAGCUUCUUCAGGGACACAACUCAGAAGUUGUAUGCAUCCCCUCUGCUCAUGUUCCAGUGGGCUGAGCUUUGUCACAUGACCACAUCUAGCUGCAAGGGAGGGUGGGAGAUACAGUCUGAAGCCAGAGAGCCAUGCGCACAGCUAGAAUGUGUGUGGGGCCAGAGGGGAUGAACGCUGUGUCCUUACAUGGCAGAGAAGAUGGAAGGCAAAAGGGACUAGGGUGCUUGCUACAACCUCUUUGAUGAGAGCAGAAAGCCAUUCAUGAGGGGGGAGUUCUCAUCAUUUAGUAACUUCCCUGAAAGCUCCACCUCUGAAUACCAUCACUUUGGGGUUUAAGUUCCAACAUGAAUUUUGGAGGGACACGUACAUUCAAACCACACCACAACCUGAUGCUCAUUUCCUCUUCCCUCCACCACAGGGUGAGACAAUCCUGCACCACAGGCAAUAAAGAGACCGUGAUAAGCAAAACCAUCCAUCUGGCUGUGGUUUGGCAUGCACCCCACUGGUCUCUUGAUUUUUCCCAAUUUCCCGUCUGGAGGGGGCCAUAGCCUAGGCCAGAAGAUGUUCUUUUCCCCCCAUGAACCUCAACAAAUCACCAAGUAUGUAAUGGAGGAAAACCGAAAAUCAAUCAUCUGAUAACAGUUCUGCCUUUUUCCUUGCUAUUAGUAGAACUCCACAUACCUGCUGUGCCCCUGGCUAUCUGGCUUCAGAGUACAUCUCCCACCUCCCUUGUAGCUGGAUGUGGUCAUGUGACAAAGGUCAGCCCAAUGGAACAUUUGAGCAGAGGGCAUGUGUACACCUUCUGAGUCCUGAGACCUAAAUGCAACCCAUUCUCCAAAAUCCAGUUUGCAUGCCCCCUCCUCCAGGAAGUCCUCUUUGACUACUGCAGUUUUUUGUUUUGCAAUACCCGUUUUCUAUAGUAUAUUGUUUCUGUGUUGUUCCCAUUGAUACAAAUGGUAUCCUCUUGAGGGCUGUUUAGCAAUUGUUUCAUCUUUCCCUAAUCCUGAGCCUCCCCUGUGUCUGCCACGGAGCCCAUGGCCUGCCCUCACUCCCUGGGUCUUGAGUGGGCUCCCCUCCUCUGUGCCUCCUCUGCUCCCAUCCUUACCUGCAUCAUUGACUUAUCCUGAUCAACUUUUAAGUCAACUGGUUACUUGUCUGCCUCACCCUCAAGAUCACAACCACUUUGACAGCAAGGACUUUGCUUUAAAGUUUUCUAGGGCUGACAUAACAAAGCUCCACAGACUCGGGGUCUUGAACAAGAGGGAUUUAUUUUCCCAUAGUCUUCCAGGCUGAAAGUUCAAGAUCAAAGUGUCGGCACGGUUGGUGGCUCCCGAGGCCCCGUCCUUGGCUUGCAGAUGCCGUCUUCUCCUUGUGUCUUAUCAUCUUCCCUCUCUGCAUGUCUGUGUUCUAAUCCCCUCUUUCUAUAAGGAUGUCAGUCCUCUUGGAUUCGGGCCCACCCUAAUGACCUCAUUUUAACUUAAUCACCUCUGCAAAGAUCUUAUCUCCGAACAUAAUCACAUUCUGAGUCCUUGGGGGUUACAGCUUCAACAUGAAUUUUUUUUGGGAAACACAAAACAGACUUGUUCCUUGUAGCCUACGUGCUCUGGCCCCUAGUACAGAACCUCUCUAAUGGGCCAUGUGGUAGCAGUCACUGGGUACCUGAAUGAAUGUUUAAAACACGAAGAACUGAUCUGACAGCUGGCACUGCUUUGGUGAUAAUUUAUCACAUCGAUCUUUCGGGUUCAGAGCGAGGGCACCCCAACCCCAGAGCAAAGGAGCUCCUGAGGUGGUGGCCAACAGAAAGCUGGAAGGGAGGCCCAGCUGCACUCCAGGAGAGCAGACCCAGCUGUUUCAGGGGCUCUGAGCCAUGUCUGACAACAUUCAAUGUGUUCAUGGAAAAUAGAAUCAGCCCAAUACACCUAAGCGGAGAGGAGGGUUUCUUAAGUGAGAGCUUUUUCCCCAAAAGAGGCGGGUGCUCCGAGGUCAGGAGAUCGAGACCAUCCCGGCUAAAACGGUG